rnacentral:misc_RNA from 1 species
AACGCACAUUGCGCCCCCUGGUAUUCCGGGGGGCAUGCCUGUUCGAGCGUCAUUACACCACUCAAGCCUCGCUUGGUAUUGGGCGCCGCGCUUCGGCGCGCGCCUCAAUGUAUCCGGCUGAGCCAUCUGUCUCUAAGCGUUGUGGCACAUUUCAUGUUUCCGCUUCUGAGCACGGGAGGUCUCGCGCCGUUAAACACCCCCAUCAAAGGUUGACCUCGGAUCAGGUAGGGAUACCCGCUGAACUUAA